rnacentral:rRNA from 1 species
AUGAACGCUGGCGGCGUGCCUAAUCCAUGCCAGUCGCGCGAACAGACGAGGAGCUUGCUCCUCUGACGUUAGCGGCGGACGGGUGAGUAACACGUGGAUAACCUACCUAUAAGACUGGGAUAACUUCGGGAAACCGGAGCUAAUACCGGAUAAUAUAUUGAACCGCAUGGUUCAAUAGUGAAAGACGGUUUUGCUGUCACUUAUAGAUGGAUCCGCGCCGCAUUAGCUAGUUGGUAAGGUAACGGCUUACCAAGGCAACGAUGCGUAGCCGACCUGAGAGGGUGAUCGGCCACACUGGAACUGAGACACGGUCCAGACUCCUACGGGAGGCAGCAGUAGGGAAUCUUCCGCAAUGGGCGAAAGCCUGACGGAGCAACGCCGCGUGAGUGAUGAAGGUCUUCGGAUCGUAAAACUCUGUUAUUAGGGAAGAACAAAUGUGUAAGUAACUAUGCACGUCUUGACGGUACCUAAUCAGAAAGCCACGGCUAACUACGU